UAUCCUGCUGACCAAAGCUGAAAGGCUGUUCCAGGGCCAGGCACUUACAGUACUGGAGUACAACGAUAAGAAGAGUGAAGUGAACAAAUCUCCAAAGGUCAGAACUUCAGUUGUUACCUCUUGAAGACAGCAGGGGAAACAGCAGGACGUGCAGCGGUAAGGCCUUAUUAAGUGAAUCACUUCCUGAUCAAAAUUAUCUGUUAUCUGCAGAUCAAAGCUCCUCAGAGGACCACAGAUAUUCCGUGUGCAGCAGUCAGUGUUUUCUUUAGCGUUGAAGAUCUUUUGACCCAGGCUGUUCUUAAUCUCAUACUGAUUAUUAGUCUCAAAGCCAAUAAU